CCCAGCAGGGCCAGGCGUGUGCCAGCAGGGAGGGUCUCUGCAGUCCCUGCUCCCCGUGCUAGGGACAGGCAGCCCUCGGGAGCCUCUGUGCAGAGGAAGGUACUCAGGAAUGGUAACUUCAGGAGAGCUUGUGGGAGAGGAUGAAUUCUGCUGCAGCCUUUCUACAUCAAAAAAAAAGACCCUUUUUAGCACAAGAUCCUUAUGCUACUACUGAAGUGCAAGUUCUAAUAUCAUCACUGUGGAUGCUUCUUACUUCAGAGAACAAGAGAAUGUUUUGUUUUGCAGAUUUGUUUCUUUAUUUUGAUAUUUAAAUUAAAAUGUUGAAUUUUAUUGUGUGCUUUAUAUCUUCUUUUAAACCCUUCUGAAAUAGAGUGUAUUGCUCACUCUGGAUAAGUAAAAAUUGUCUGAAUAAUUUUAACGUUGUUUUAAGUCCAUCAUAUUUUGAUGAGCAUGAACAACUUAUUAGUAACAUUCUCAAGGUUGUGACAUUUUUUAAAACAAAGAUUUGCAAGUUACUUUACAGUAAAUAUAUUUGUGUUUCUAUGAAAUGGGUUGCAGAUUUUAAUGUGAAGAUCUUGUCUGCUUAUGGCAAAAUGUAUUUGUGUGAUAAUCAUUUUGGAAAGCUCAUGUGCCAUACCCCAGAGUAAAAUAAUGGAAAAUAAUUACUAGGAGAAAGCUGGCUGCCCAAGUCACAGUUUUAAAGAUUGUUCAAUGUCUCUGGGGAUAUGCUUUAGGCAGUUAGAACUUGGAAGUGGUGUCUUUUUAUUGCUGCUUAAAUUUGGAUGUAGC
rnacentral:lncRNA from 1 species